UAGCAGAGGGCGCGAGCGUUGUCCGGAAUCACUGGGCGUAAAGGGCGCGUAGGUGGCCACUAUAAGGCCGCGGUGAAAGUUCGGGGCUCAACCCUGAAUCUGCCGCGGCGACUGUAGGGCUUGGGCACCGUAGAGGCAGAUGGAAUUCCGGGUGUAGCGGUGGAAUGCGUAGAGAUCCGGAAGAACACCAGUGGCGAAGGCGGUCUGCUGGGCGGUGGGAGCGCAAGCUCCUCUUAGCCGACACUGAGGCGCGACAGCGUGGGGAGCAAACAGG
rnacentral:rRNA from 1 species